rnacentral:pre_miRNA from 1 species
CUCAGGGCACAUCUUACCCGGCAGUGCUGGGCUGAUCACUGGUGUUCUAACACUGUCUGGUAAUGAUGCACCCUGGG